UACGUAGGCGGAAAAUUAAGUCAGUAGUGAAAUCCUGCAGCUUAACUGUAGAACUGUUAUUGAUACUGGUUUUCUUGAAUAUAGUUGAAGUAGGCGGAAUGUGUAAUGUAGCGGUGAAAUGCUUAGAUAUUACACAGAACACCGAUUGCGAAGGCAGCUUACUAAGCUAUGAUUGACGCUGAGGUACGAAAGCGUAGGGAGCGAACAGGAUUAGAUACCCUGGUAGUCC
rnacentral:rRNA from 1 species